rnacentral:rRNA from 1 species
CAGCAGCCGCGGUAAUACGUAGGUGGCGAGCGUUGUCCGGAAUUAUUGGGCGCAAAGCGCGCGCAGGCGGAUAGGUCAGUCUGUCUUAAAAGUUCGGGGCUUAACCCCGUGAUGGGAUGGAAACUGCCAAUCUAGAGUAUCGGAGAGGAAAGUGGAAUUCCUAGUGUAGCGGUGAAAUGCGUAGAUAUUAGGAAGAACACCAGUGGCGAAGGCGACUUUCUGGACGAAAACUGACGCUGAGGCGCGAAAGCCAGGGGAGCGAACGGGAUUAGAUACCCCCGUAGUCCCUGUCUCUUAUACA